rnacentral:rRNA from 1 species
CCGGACGGGAUAAACGCUGAAGGCAUCUAAGCGUGAAGCCCCCCUCAAGAUGAGAUCUCUCAUUCGAAAGAAGUAAGACCCCUUGAAGACGACGAGGUAGAUAGGGCAGGGGUGGAAGGGCAGUAAUGUCCGGAGCUGACUGUUACUAAUCGGUCGAGGGCUUGACCAAAA